GGGAGCCCAUAAUAUCUACACAGAGGAUGACAUCUUACAACUCUUACACGCCUUUCAGCCAAACACACAACGAGACAUACUCAUUUUCCACUGCGAGUUUUCUUCAGAAAGAGCACCAAAAUUGUGCCGCUAUCUCCGGAACAAAGACCGAGAGCUGAACAGUGACAUGUAUCCGUUUCUAACUUUCCCAGAGUUGUAUAUUUUAGAUGGUGGUUACAAGAGUUUUUACAACAGUUUUAAGUCAUACUGUGAACCAAUUAACUACGUCCCUAUGCUUCACCAAGACCAUGCAGCAGACGUACGCCACUUCCGAUCUAAGUCAAAGUCUUGGACAGCUGGCGAGAAAAGGAAAAGCCCACAACGGUUAUUGUUUUAAAAACGUCUAUAAUUGCAAAUGAUACCUCAACCUUUGCAAAGGAACGAGUGUUUGAAUUGUUUCGAGUUAUGAGAUGUGUAAAAAGUUUACCAAUAUUUAUUUUAUUUGAGAUGUUUAAGUAUUUGGGAUGUUUAAGUAUUUUAGUGCUGGUCACAACAACUUGAAUGUUGUAUAUUUAAAGUUAGUGCUGUAUAUCUGUCCUGAAUGUAUAUUCAGUUUGCUUUUUUAAAUAUUACUUUGUGUAUACAUGUACGUUUCUGACAUUUCUUUCUUUUCUGUAAACAAUUCGAAAUCCCUUCACGGUUUUUAUGUAUAUUUUUAUUACUUAUUGUUUUUGUACUAUUUAUAUAAAUAAAAAAAUAAUCUAA